CCUACGGGUGGCAGCAGUGGGGAAUAUUGGGCAAUGGGCGCAAGCCUGACCCAGCAACGCCGCGUGAAGGAAGAAGGCUUUCGGUUUGUAAACUUCUUUUAUCAGGGACGAAGAAAGUGACGGUACCUGAGGAAUAAGCCACGGCGAACUACGUGCCAGCCGCCGCGGUAAUAAGUAGGUGGCAAGCGUUAUCCGGAUUUAUUGGGUGUAAAGGGCGUGUAGGCGGGAGGCCAAGUCAGAUGUGAAAACUCAGGGCUCAACCCUGGGACUGCAUUUGAAACUGGGUUUCUUGAGUGCUGGAGAGGCAAGCGGAAUUCCGGGUGUAGCGGUGAAAUGCGUAGAUAUACGGAGGAACACCAGUGGCGAAGGCGGAUUGCUGGACAGUAACUGACGCUGAGGCGCGAAAGCGUGGGGAGCAAACAGGAUUAGAUACCCUUGUAGUC
rnacentral:rRNA from 1 species